GGUUCACAGCUGUGCGCAUUUGCGUUCACACACGCCCACACACUCACGCGCUCUUUCCCACUCACAUUUCACCCCCUAAAAAGCAACGAAGACCUCCCUCACCCCGACCCCUCCCCGAGAUACAACAUCGGUGCGCAGCCACCAGCGAAAGGCCGCGGCAUUCACAUCAAAUCCAUCACGCGAGUGGAUAUGUGAUGGAGCGCAGCGAAGCAAGCGAGAGAGAGGUGGGCAGAAAAGUGGUGCUCAUCGCUUCCUUUGUGUGUGUCUCUCUCUGCCGACUCCAUUCGCCCAACUGUUCCUUCCACCUUUAAGAGGAUGAGGAGGGGCAGUAUAAAUCCGCGAUGGGGGAGAGCUGCCGCAAGCAGCUUACUCACUGGGGGGGGGGUGGGACGCUGUGCACAUUGUGCAACGGGGCGUCUCCGCACACGGUCUUCAAGGCGGCCUCGGAUCUCACUCGUCGCCCUCCUUCCCUCGCCAACGUAAGCUUGAACUCUCUCCCACUCUUCUCUCUCCUACGUCUUUGUGUGCUGUCUUUCUUGCACCCACACAACGUGAACGCACCCUUGAACGCGCAG
rnacentral:misc_RNA from 1 species